GCGGGUGUAGCUCAAUUGGUAGAGCGCGACGUUGCCAACGUCGAGGUUGUGGGUUCGAGCCCCAUCACCCGCU
rnacentral:tRNA from 1 species